GUAGUUUCCCUUGCACAAAUGAAUAGAGCAAGGAGGAAGUAAAAGCACGGUCUUUGGUAAAAGCACAGAAUUAGGCUUCUUGUCUCGGGGCUUUUGGCUCCUACAAACUUCAAUACUCGCGUUACCUCAAAGAUAGAUUAGAGCGAGAAAGAACAGAGGCCCCGGCACAGAACGAAACAGUGUGGGUUACAAAGCGAUACGCUCCUACGGAUGAACGAGUGAUUGCUCCUGUUCCAAGGCACAAACAUGUGGUACCCACCCGGGCCAGCUAUCUGCGUACAGGAGAUAUUCACUGGAUCCCCGUCUCUGAUCCUCCUCUCUCAAGUUUCAAUAGACCGUCUGGACCUCCAAUGAAUGUUGUUUAUGUAUCUCAUCCAGCCACAAGAUCUGAAGAAUGGUCUACCCUGAGACAGAUGCUGCCUUCAUAUGGCAAUGUGUGGAGAGUGGACCAGCCCAACUGGGGCACCGCCUCAGGACCUCCCCCAACACCUCUCCCACGGUUAACUGGUCGCCUACCUCACGUCAACAGCUGCAUGACAAAGUACGUUGAUGACAUGCACAAGACACACAGACAGUUCAAGCAUUGCUGAGAGGUGGCAGUUGUUGUCCUUUGUGACCCUGUCUUUGCAGUGACUCAAGUGCGGUCAGAAUGAUCAGUUGCUUCUGUAGCUUGGCCUUAAGUCAUUUUCACGUACACAGCAUUUGUAUUUGCCUUUUGACACCUUUAUACAUUUUUAACGUCACUUGUGCCUCCAUUACUUUUUAAAGAAUUGCUGCUGGGAGGAAAAAUGUCAGUAAAAAUCCUUUCAAACACUGAAAGUUGUCAGGGUUUCUACUAAAUGAUGAGAAAUUAUAGCCGACAUUUGUCUCAGAUCAAGCAUGUACAGAUGGCCAGUUAGCUCUAUCAUAAAUUGUGACAAAACGAAAACACCCAUUUUGAGGAAUUCCAUCUCCUCACUUCCUGUCCAUCUCAAAGAUCAUAAGAACAUCUACCAAUGAAAGGAUGCCUGUGGUCAAUAGUUGUUUUGUUUUUUUCCUCUUUUGUUUUAAGCUAUGAAUAAGACACUGAUUUCCUUGUGACCGUAAGGAAAAUGGACUUUAAAAAAUCAACCCUGUUGUUGUUUAUUAGCAUUAUAAUGUAGAAUGAGAUUAUUUUGCACUGUUGAUUGUGUUGACUCUACACUUGGUAUCUAUUCACUUUGGAUGCCGUUGUUAUGAACAGUAUCGGAAACCUUUUAAAUACGGUAACUUAAAUGUUCAUUGUCAGUAUUAAUUUGAUGCUGUUGCUUGCCUUUUGUCAUUUAUCAAAAUUUGGAAGUUACUCACCGAAAGGAGAUUGAAAAAUUGUGAAUUUCUGUGUAAUUCAGUGCCUCACUCAGAGCUUUUCCAGAUAAACGGUAUUGAUUAGAUUGAUGUCCAUUCGAGCAACAGGACAUUUCCAAACUUUGUACAUAUUUGACAAGCCUUGUAGUUGUCAGCAUUCCAAUACUAUAUUGCUAACAGAGUAUUUGACAUCUUUUUGUAAUUGUCUCAGAACCCCUUUAGGGUCGUCUUUCAUAUAUAUAUAUAUUGCUCUGUAUACACUAAACAGUAUUACGUGCAUGGACAAGUUGAAUCUUUAGAUGGAAGAGUAGUCUUUUCUAUGUCACAUCAGAUGACUUUUUUUCUACAAUUUUAGUACGUCUUCAAACAUGUUAAUAAAACUUGGAAUAGAAUGUGA
rnacentral:misc_RNA from 1 species